rnacentral:rRNA from 1 species
GACGAACGCUGGCGGCGUGCUUAACACAUGCAAGUCGUACGGAAAGGCCCUGGCUUUGGUUGGGGUGCUCGAGUGGCGAACGGGUGAGUAACACGUGGGUGAUCUGCCCUGCACUUUGGGAUAAGCCUGGGAAACUGGGUCUAAUACUGGAUAGGACCAUGCUUUUGUGUGUCAUGGUGGAAAGGCUUCUUUUUGGGGCUGGUGUGGGAUGAGCUUGCGGCCUAUCAGCUUGUUGGUGGGGUAAUGGCCUACCAAGGCGUCGACGGGUAGCCGGCCUGAGAGGGUGUACGGCCACAGUGGGACUGAGAUACGGCCCAGACUCCUGCGGGAGGCAGCAGUGGGGAAUAUUGCACAAUGGGCGCAAGCCUGAUGCAGCGACGCCGCGUGAGGGAUGACGGCCUUCGGGUUGUAAACCUCUUUCGCUGGGGACGAAGCUUUUUUUGGUGACGGUACCUGGAGAAGAAGCACCGGCUAACUACGUG